GUGUCAGCAGCCGCGGUAAUACGAAGGGGGCUAGCGUUGCUCGGAAUGACUGGGCGUAAAGGGCGCGUAGGCGGAAUGCUUUGUCGGGCGUGAAAUUCCAGGGCUUAACCUUGGGACUGCGUUCGAGACGGGUAUUCUAGAGUGGAGAAGAGGGUCGUGGAAUUCCCAGUGUAGAGGUGAAAUUCGUAGAUAUUGGGAAGAACACCGGUGGCGAAGGCGGCGACCUGGUCUUUUACUGACGCUGAGGCGCGAAAGCGUGGGGAGCAAACAGGAUUAGAUACCCUGGUAGUCCACGCUGUAAACGAUGUGCGCUGGAUGUUGGGACACCUAGUGUUUCAGUGUCGUAGCUAACGCGGUAAGCGCACCGCCUGGGGAGUACGGCCGCAAGGUUGAAACUUAAAUGAAUUGACGGGG
rnacentral:rRNA from 1 species